AGAGUUUGAUCAUGGCUCAGAUGAACGCUGCGGCAGGCUUAACACAUGCAAGUCGAGCGGAGAUGAGGUGCUUGCACUUAUCUAGCGGCGGACGGGUGAGUAAUGCUUAGGAAUCUGCCUAUUAGUGGGGGACAACAUUCCGAAAGGAAUGCUAAUACCGCAUACGUCUACGGGAGAAAGCAGGGGAUCUUCGGACCUUGCGCUAAUAGAUGAGCCUAAGUCGGAUUAGCUAGUUGGUGGGGUAAAGGCCUACCAAGGCGACGAUCUGUAGCGGGUCUGAGAGGAUGAUCCGCCACACUGGGACUGAGACACGGCCCAGACUCCUACGGGAGGCAGCAGUGGGGAAUAUUGGACAAUGGGGGGAACCCUGAUCCAGCCAUGCCGCGUGUGUGAAGAAGGCCUUAUGGUUGUAAAGCACUUUAAGCGAGGAGGAGGCUACUGAGACUAAUACUCUUGGAUAGUGGACGUUACUCGCAGAAUAAGCACCGGCUAACUCUGUGCCAGCAGCCGCGGUAAUACAGAGGGUGCGAGCGUUAAUCGGAUUUACUGGGCGUAAAGCGUGCGUAGGCGGCUUUUUAAGUCGGAUGUGAAAUCCCCGAGCUUAACUUGGGAGUUGCAUUCGAUACUGGGAAGCUAGAGUAUGGGAGAGGAUGGUAGAAUUCCAGGUGUAGCGGUGAAAUGCGUAGAGAUCUGGAGGAAUACCGAUGGCGAAGGCAGCCAUCUGGCCUAAUACUGACGCUGAGGUACGAAAGCAUGGGGAGCAAACAGGAUUAGAUACCCUGGUAGUCCAUGCCGUAAACGAUGUCUACUAGCCGUUGGGGCCUUUGAGGCUUUAGUGGCGCAGCUAACGCGAUAAGUAGACCGCCUGGGGAGUACGGUCGCAAGACUAAAACUCAAAUGAAUUGACGG
rnacentral:rRNA from 1 species